rnacentral:rRNA from 1 species
UAGGGAAUUUUCGUCAAUGGGCGCAAGCCUGAACGAGCGAUGCCGCGUGAGUGAAGAAGGCCUUCGGGUCGUUAAAGCUCUGUUGCGGGGGAAAAAAGGCAGCAUCAGGAAAUGGGUGCUGACUGAUGGUGCCCCGCCAGAAAGUCACGGCUAACUACGUGCC